GUGGGUCUAGCUCAGAGGUAGAGCGCAUGCUUAGCAUGCAUGAGGUCCUAGGUUCAAUCCCCAGUCCCUACA
rnacentral:tRNA from 1 species